GGAGGGAUGGCUGAGUGGCUGAAGGCGCACGCCUGGAAAGUGUGUUUAGGUUAAUCCCUAACGAGGGUUCGAAUCCCUCUCCCUCCACCA
rnacentral:tRNA from 13 species